GUUCAUACAAGGUUAGGGUUUGGGCAGAGAGAAGUGAUUUAAGACAGAAGAACUGACCCCUUAAUCAGAUGAAGUCUUUCAGCAAAUCCUUCUUGAUACUGGAGGAGACUGCUGAAGUGAUCGUCUUAAAGUGGAGAAAUAGGAGUUUCGCCACUGAGUUCAACACAGACCAGAGUGCACAGUUGCCUGAGGAAGGGACGUAUGUUUGACCCGCAUUCUGCUUCCGCUUUGCCCUGUCUCAUCAUUUCUGUAAUCAGAGAAAUGUUCCAUCCAUUGCUUCUCAACCUGCGGUUUUCAGUUGUCAGCUGUCUGAAAACUGAUCCCCUCCCACGGCCUUGCCCUCUUCCAUCAGCAGAGGCGCUGACUUGUGUCGACCAAAGCCAGCCGGAAAACAAUCUGCCUGCGUCAGUUUACAUCCAGCCUGCUCUUUUUCUCCCUCGCGCACUGCAUGUAUACCACCCUGACAGAACAUCAAGUCCUAUCACCCUGUUGUUCAGUCAGCAGAAUGGGGCCUUUUACCGUUGACCUCUCCAGGCAGUCUUGGAUUUUGCAGUUGGAGCUCACUGCAGACCUAACAUGAUAAAUGAUGCUGUGAGCAAACCCUGGGCUUGAUACUCAGUCUCUCAUGUCAGAGUGCUGCUGAUAUUACCCAACCUGCAAGGCCACAGAUUCAGCAAUGAGCCACGUUUUUA